rnacentral:rRNA from 1 species
GAUGAACGCUGGCGGCGUGCCUAAUACAUGCAAGUCGAGCGAACAGACGAGGAGCUUGCUCCUCUGACGUUAGCGGCGGACGGGUGAGUAACACGUGGAUAACCUACCUAUAAGACUGGGAUAACUUCGGGAAACCGGAGCUAAUACCGGAUAAUAUAUUGAACCGCAUGGUUCAAUAGUGAAAGACGGUCUUGCUGUCACUUAUAGAUGGAUCCGCGCCGCAUUAGCUAGUUGGUAAGGUAACGGCUUACCAAGGCAACGAUGCGUAGCCGACCUGAGAGGGUGAUCGGCCACACUGGAACUGAGCCACGGUCCAGCCUCCUACGGGAGGCAGCAGUAGGGAAUCUUCCGCAAUGGGCGAAGGCUUGACGGAGCAACGCCGCGUGAGUGAUGAAGGUCUUCGGAUCGUAAAACUCUGUUAUUAGGGAAGAACAAAUGUGGAAGUAACUAUGCACGUCUUGACGGUACCUAAUCAGAAAGCAAGGGCUAACUACGUG